UAAUUAUAUCAAAUAUCGAUUUGACACGACUAAACUCGUCUCCAAACAGGCCUGAAUCCGACAGUCAGACUCCUCCCGUUCGUCGCCCUCCUCCGCCAGCGCCGCUGAAUCAAGAAUCCUAUCUUCACCGGCUCCGGACAACUGGACGAGAACGGUGCAGGUUCCCACGGAAGCCGUGGCUCCCUGGCUCCCUUGAAGGGCGGAAUCGAUCCUUGUUGCUCUCCGACAACUCGGCGAGCUUAAGGAUGUCUCGCCACCAGAAGGAGCCCUUUUUGGUAUGUCCAGGUGGAGAACACUCUAUGCUGCAAUCAACAAGCUACUGCCUUUCGUCUACAAUAAUGCAUCAGUUUUGGCCACAGAAGCAAAACUCCUGUAUGCAAUGUCUCAGACUCCAAACAGUAAUUAUAAUGAUAAUAGUUGUAACACCUGUUAUUUUAACCAUCAAAAGUAAUUCCGAAGAAAUAGAGGCAAAUCAUAA